ensembl:lncRNA
GGCUCAAUCUUUAUUGUCAAAAAUGAAACUGCACUCAUGUUUUGUUGUUGUUUUUUUUUUGAAACAGGCCUUCCACACAAUGAAGGGCUGUCAAAAAUCUAAAAUGUAUAAUUGUCAUUGCUUUGCUUUUUGCUACACAGAAAAUAUGUAUAAGGUCCAUUUGGGAAUUCAUUCAUCGUAUUACUGAUUUGGAACUAAUAGUACACACACAUACACACACACAAAAAGGAUUUGAAGAAAAAGAAAAGAUUACUCACACAAAUUAAACCACUGCCUUAUCAAAAGAAAAAAACAAUCUAUUUUGCUACAGAAAAACUUAAAAUUGCAACAUAAAUGUACCACAAAGAAAUCAAAAAGCAAGAAAAAAACCUGUUAGCUCUGUUAUAAAUGAAAAGAUAAACUUUCUUUAGAAUAACUUGUUUAACUCUUAGCACAUUAGAAGCAUUGUAAAAAAUAUUUCACGACAAUGUGUACUCAUUCAUUUCCUUAAGUUGCAUUAAUUAAUUAAAGCAGUCUUGGCGGCUGUGUGGAUUGCAGGUUAGCUCGCUUAGCACCAAAACCUCUUUGCUUUACUGUCGCUUUUAAUAAACGAUGUUUAACCUGAGUUCAGUGUAGCCCAAGAGAAGAUGGUAGAAGUGAUGUACAAAGUGAAUGAGGCAGGGUGAAAUCAAACAGAGACAAUGCAAAACACAACAUCUGGGCUAACGUGAGCUUUAACAUAGCUAAACAGGGGAAGUGAAAUAAAAUGCCCAAUGUGAAUCUUUCAGGGAUGUCUCUCUCCUCUACCCUUCCAGGACGAUACUGCGAGCAGCUCAAUCCAGGUACACCACUAUCUCUUCUCCUGUCUGCUGCUCCGCCUGGUGCACCUCCCCGUCACCUGUCCCGGCCUCUCCAUACACUUCUCCCUCCACCUGUAAGGUGCAGUUGUCCAGCUCAGUCACAAUGUAGUGCGUGCCCUCAUCAUUGACGAUGACCUGGGUAAGGCCUUCCUUCAUCAUCUGGGACGCGGCGAGUUGCAGCACUUCCUGCAUGUCCUCCUGGCCGGUCCCCUGGAUGACCUGCACCUGCCCCUCCUCCGCCUGCUUCACCUCCCCCUGCACUUCACUCUGCACAGCCUCAGCUAUCUCUGGGGUCAAGACCUCAUGAACGAUGGCUGCCUCUCCUUGUAUUUCCUCCUGAUGGCCCAUUUCGCUGACUGCGCUGAGCAGAGCAUCGAGAGCUGUGGAGGACUCUGAGACAAUGUGACUUUGUCCAGCAGCAGCUGCGACUGCUACCCCUCCUCUGGCCACAGCCUGAAACUCCUUUCUGGCCUCCCCUGACUCCAGGACCACGUACUGGGUGCUGCCUCCGGCCAGGUGGGCUCCUGCGGAUGCCACUUCCCUGCCCGAGGCUAUGACUUGUCCGUCUUCAGUGAUG